GCUUCAAUGGUUUAGUGGUAAAAUCCAAGCUUCCCACUUUAAGAUUCACAUCUCUAAGAGCCUGCUUGGGCCCCGGGUUCGAUUCCCGGUUGUAGCA